rnacentral:rRNA from 1 species
UGACAGUACCUCGCUAGAAAGCAUCUGCUAACUACGUGCCAGAAGCCUCGGCAAUGCGUGGGAUGCGAGCGUUAUCCGGAUUUACUGGGCGUAAAGGGUUUCGCAGGCGGACUGUUAAGUCUGGUCUUAAAGCCUAGGGCUCAACCCUAGAUAUGGAUUAGAUACUGGCAGUCUUGAGGGUAUCAGGGGGGACUGGAACACUCGGUGGAGGGGUGAAAUCCGUUGAGAUCGAGUGGAACGCCAAUGGCGAAAGCAGGUCCCUGGGAUAUUUCUGACGCUCAGGUACGAAAGCUAGGGGAGCAAACGGGAUUAGAGACCCCGGUAGUCCUAGCCGUAAACUAUGAAUACUAGCUGCUUCCUUUAAGGGGGUGGCGUAAGCUAACGCGUUAAGUAUUCCGCCUGGGUAGUACGGCCGCAAGGUUAAAACUCAAAGGAAUUGACGGGGGAGCGCACAACCGGUGGAGCAUGUGGUUUAAUUCGAUACAAAGCGAAAGACCUCACCUGGGUUUGAAAUGUAAUUGCAAAUCCCUGGAAACAGGGACUCUUUCGAAGGUAUUACACAGCUGCUGCAUGGCUGUCGUCAGCUCGUGUCGUGAGACGUCCGCUUAAGUGCGGUAACGAGCGCAACCCCUGCCGCGUGUUAAAUUGUCACGCGGGACUGCCUUACAACAAGUAGGGAGGAAGGAGGGGACGACGUCAAGUCAGCAUGGCGCUUAUGUCCAGGGCCACACACAUCCUACAAUGGGAAGUAACAACGGGUCGCGACGGGGUAACCCUGAGCCAAUCCUUUAAACCUUUCCUCAGUUCAGAUUGAGGGCUGCAACUCGCCCUCAUGAAGUCGGAAUCGGUAGUAAUCGCAGGUCAGCAGACUGCGGUGAAUACGUUCUCGCUCCUUGCACACACCGCCCGU